AACCUUUACACUGCACGCCAGUGCGAUAAGGGGAUCCCGAGUGCGCAGGCAUAGAGCCUGCGCUUUUCUGAACUGUAGGGAGGUUCAGGAACAAGAGCUGGGCAAGACCGGUGCCAGCCGCCGCGGUAAUACCGGCAGCCCGAGUGAUGGCCGAUCUUAUUGGGCCUAAAGCGUCCGUAGCUGGCCGCACAAGUCCAUCGGAAAAUCCACCCGCUCAACGGGUGGGCGUCCGGUGGAAACUGUGUGGCUUGGGGCCGGAAGGCGCGACGGGUACGUCCGGGGUAGGAGUGAAAUCCCGUAAUCCUGGACGGACCGCCGAUGGCGAAAGCACGUCGCGAGAACGGAUCCGACAGUGAGGGACGAAAGCUAGGGUCUCGAACCGGAUUAGAUACCCGGGUAGUCCUAGCCGUAAACAAUGCCUGCUAGGUGUGGCUCCCACUACGAGUGGGUGCUGUGCCGUAGGGAAGCCGCUAAGCAGGCCGCCUGGGAAGUACGUCCGCAAGGAUGAAACUUAA
rnacentral:rRNA from 1 species